AUGCAUUUCACUUACAUGCACACAAAGAGCUCCACAACUAGCAUUUUAGAAAGAUUAGAUUCAUAUACUGAUCUGUAUAUAAUUGCCUAUAAUUUGCAUUUCGGCACAUGUUGGCUCAUAUUUUUCUCAGCUAGCUCAUAUAUUCAUCAUAACACUAACACACGUCUUGCUUUUUUCUUAUUGCAGAGGCUGUCUAGGUGCUGUUUUGGUGUUUCCCGUGGUGCACAUGUGUGCUGCCUUUCCUACAAUAUGUGUUUUCAUGCAUUUUUGCGCAAACUUUUGUGUCCUGAACUGAUAAGUAUUCAAUUGUGUGCCACAUGCAGGUGCUCUGAACCUCUGACAUUAGCAAAUGAUUUGCUUUAUCCGAAAAUGCUAGGUGGUGGCGGCGACGUUGUGUUCAGUGGCUAA
rnacentral:rRNA from 1 species